rfam:Pristionchus pacificus strain PS312 contig368, whole genome shotgun sequence.
UCUUCAUUCCUCGUACUCUCUCACCGGUCAGAGUGUCGAGAGAACACGCAGAAUGAAGAGA